AAACCAGAGAGGGUCGUCUCUCGGUAAAUCCCAGGGAAGGCCAUGUCUCGGUGUUCCGGCAAAGCGCGUCAAAAUGCCGUCACGAAAUUACUGGCAUUUCCGGAGCCUGCAAUGUGCCUUUAAAUACUGUCAGCGAAUAAGAUCUCCCCUCUUACUGACCUCUCACCUCUCGCUGACCUUUCGCAGUUGUGCCGCCAUUAUGCCCUCGCCGGUGCUCUAUCAACGAUUCCCAGACACGACGUUGCCUUGUCCGACCGGCAAUCGUUCCUCGCGUGAUUCGAGAUGGGGAAACGAAACUACAGCACAGACUCGGAAAUGCUGAGGCCGAUUCUAUUUUUGAUUGCGAGUACAGCUGUGCUCUGCGAUAACGAGCUGGCAGACAUGUCUGAUAUAAACUGGUAUGAU
rnacentral:lncRNA from 1 species